UACGAAGGGGGCUAGCGUUGUUCGGAAUUACUGGGCGUAAAGCGCACGUAGGCGGCUCUUUAAGUCGGGGGUGAAAUCCUGGAGCUCAACUCCAGAACUGCCUUCGAUACUGAAGAGCUCGAGUCCGGGAGAGGUGAGUGGAACUGCGAGUGUAGAGGUGAAAUUCGUAGAUAUUCGCAAGAACACCAGUGGCGAAGGCGGUCUGCUGGGCGGUGGGACCGAAAGGUCUCGAUGCCGACACUGGAGGCGCGACAGCGUGGGGAGCAAACAGG
rnacentral:rRNA from 1 species